rnacentral:rRNA from 1 species
AGAUUGAACGCUGGCGGCAUGCCUUACACAUGCAAGUCGAACGGUAGAGUAGCAAUACUCGAGAGUGGCGAACGGGUGAGUAAUAUAUCGGAACGUGCCCAGUCGUGGGGGGAUAACGUAGAGAAAUUUACGCUAAUACCGCAUACGAUCUAAGGAUGAAAGCGGGGGAUCGCAAGACCUCGCGCGAUUGGAGCGGCUGAUAUCAGAUUUAGGUUGUUGGUGAGGUAAAAGCUCACCAAGCCGACGAUCUGUAGCUGGUUUGAGAGAACGACCAGCCACACUGGGACUGAGACACGGCCCAGACUCCUACGGGAGGCAGCAGUGGGGAAUUUGGACAAUGGGACGAAAGCCUGAUCCAGACAAUCGCCGCGUGCGAAGGAAGGAACGGUCCGUUAGGUUAGUAAACGUGUUCGUUUAGAACGGUAAACGAAAGGUCUUACUUUACUAAAGUAAACGACGGACCAAUACGGAACCGUAACCGUAAAGUAA